AACGAACGCUGGCGGUAGGCUUAACACAUGCAAGUCGAGCGCCCCGCAAGGGGAGCGGCAGACGGGUGAGUAACGCGUGGGAAUCUACCCAUCUCUACGGAAUAACGCAUGGAAACGUGUGCUAAUACCGUAUACGUCCUUCGGGAGAAAGAUUUAUCGGAGAUGGAUGAGCCCGCGUUGGAUUAGCUAGUUGGUGGGGUAAAGGCCUACCAAGGCGACGAUCCGUAGCUGGUCUGAGAGGAUGAUCAGCCACACUGGGACUGAGACACGGCCCAGACUCCUACGGGAGGCAGCAGUGGGGAAUAUUGGACAAUGGGCGCAAGCCUGAUCCAGCCAUGCCGCGUGAGUGAUGAAGGCCCUAGGGUUGUAAAGCUCUUUCACCGGUGAAGAUAAUGACGGUAACCGGAGAAGAAGCCCCGGCUAACUUCGUGCCAGCCGCCGCGGUAAUAC
rnacentral:rRNA from 1 species